AGUCAAUAGAUACCCGUGGUACGUCCACGCCGUAAACGAUGAGUACUAGGUGUAGGAGGUAUCGACUCCUCCUGUGCCGCAAGUUAACACAAUAAGUACUCCGCCGUGGGAAGUACGGUCGCAAGAAUUAAACUACAAAGGAAUUGACGGGGGCCCGCACAAGCAGCGGAGCAUGUGGUUUAAUUCGAAGCAACGCGAAGAACCUUACCUAGACUUGACAUCUCCUGUAAUAGUGUAGAGAUACAUGAAGCCCUUCGGGCAGGAAGACAGGUGGUGCAUGGUUGUCGUCAGCUCGUGUCGUGAGAUGUUGGGUU
rnacentral:rRNA from 1 species